rnacentral:rRNA from 1 species
GACAGCAGCAGCCACGGUAAUACAGAGGGUGCGAGCGUUAAUCGGAUUUACUGGGCGUAAAGCGUGCGUAGGCGGCUUCUUAAGUCGGAUGUGAAAUCCCUGAGCUUAACUUAGGAAUUGCAUUCGAUACUGGGAAGCUAGAGUAUGGGAGAGGAUGGUAGAAUUCCAGGUGUAGCGGUGAAAUGCGUAGAGAUCUGGAGGAAUAACGAUGGCGAAGGCAGCCAUCUGGCCUAAUACUGACGCUGAGGUACGAAAGCAUGGGGAGCAAACAGGAUUAGAUACCCCCGUAGUCCCUGUCUCUUAUAC